rnacentral:rRNA from 1 species
CCCUUAGAUGUCCUGGGCCGCACGCGUGCUACACUGACGCCUACAGCGAGUACUUCCCAGCCCCGAGAGGCGGCUGGUAAUCAGCAAUAGGCGUCGCGAUGGGGAUAGAACUUUGGAAUUAUUGUUCUUCAACGAGGAAUACCUAGUAGGCGCAUGUCAUCAGCGUGCGUCGAUUACGUCCCUGCCCUUUGCACACACCGCCCGUCGCUCCUACCGAUUGAAUGAUCCGGUGAGGCCCCCGGAAUGGGAUCACUGCCUGGUUCUCCAGAAUGAGAUCCCGUGAAGCUGUCCAAACCUUAUCAUUUAGAGGAAGGAGAAGUCGUAACA